rnacentral:sRNA from 1 species
GGUGACAUUUACAGUGCAACCAUUAGCAAUAUAAGAAUAGUACAAUAUGAGAAUAUCAAUGAUGUUCUUGGUCUUGAUGACAGUAGUGUGUGCAAUGUUCCAGGGAUCUGAAUCUCUUCCUUGUGGAAGAGGUGGACGUAGACGAACCACAACAACAACAACAACAACAGCAGCAACAUCAUAGGUUUUGGCCCAAGCACAAUAUAUCUGGAAUAAAUUAAAUCUUAUGUCUGUUUAAUCAUAGAAUAGGAAAGUUGUGUCUCACAUAGCUAUUGUCUAGUUCUUUAGUUAAUUGUUAUUGGUAAUGUAACGCUCACUUUAUCUAAUAGUAUCUAUACCAAAAAAUUAGCUAAAGGACAAAAAAUGAAAUUAAUAGUAAUCCACUCUAGACUGAACACAGCGAAUGCAAAUAAAAAUAGCAAAUAAAAAAUAAGAUAAAAUAAAA